rnacentral:rRNA from 1 species
GACGAACGCUGGCGGCGUGCUUAACACAUGCAAGUCGAACGAUAAAGCUGGAGCUUGCUCCGGUGGAUUAGUGGCGAACGGGUGAGUAACACGUGAGCAAUCUGCCCUUCACUCUGGGAUAACUGCGGGAAACUGUAGCUAAUACCGGAUACGAGACCUUGGGGCAUCCCAGGGUCUGGAAAGAAUUUCGGUGAAGGAUGAGCUCGCGGCCUAUCAGCUAGUUGGUGAGGUAAUGGCUCACCAAGGCGACGACGGGUAGCCGGCCUGAGAGGGUGACCGGCCACACUGGGACUGAGACACGGCCCAGACUCCUACGGGAGGCAGCAGUGGGGAAUAUUGCACAAUGGGCGAAAGCCUGAUGCAGCAACGCCGCGUGAGGGAUGAAGGCCUUCGGGUUGUAAACCUCUUUUAGUAGGGAAGAAGCGCAAGUGACGGUACCUACAGAAAAAGCACCGGCUAACUACGUGCCAGCCGCCGCCGUAACAC